CCGAGAGGUAACACCAGAAGGGUCGUCUCCCAUAGGGGCAAUAAUUUGAUAACUAAAGUCAGUGAGCUAAUUAACCCAAUCACCAACAAAUGGGACGAAGAACUAGUGAGGCAAACUUUUACCCCGGAAGAUACAAAGUGUAUCCUUCAGAUCCCAAUCCAAGAUCAUCUCGAGGACUUCACGGCAUGUCACUAUGAUAAAAAAGCUGAAGAAGAUGGUGGAUUUGACUGGCUUAAACUAUGGACAAUGCCCCUCCCAAACAAAGUGCUCCAUUUUUUAUGGAGGCUAGCAACCAAUAGCUUACCAUUGCGA
rnacentral:rRNA from 1 species